AUCGCUUCUCGGCCUUUUGGCUAAGAUCAAGUGUAGUAUCUGUUCUUAUCAGUUUAAUAUCUGAUACGUCCCCUACCCGGGGACCAUAUAUUAAAUUGAUUUUUGGAUCAGGGAGCCGGAACGGGGCUUGCUCCUUCCACUCCACGCAUCGACCCAGGUAUUGCAUUACCUCCAGGUACGGUGCACAUUCU
rnacentral:snRNA from 1 species